AGCAAAAGAAACCAACAGGGAUUGCCCUAGUAACGGCGAGUGAAGCGGCAACAGCUCAAAUUUGAAAUCUGGCCUUCGGGUCCGAGUUGUAAUUUGUAGAGGAUGCUUUUGGCGCGGUGCCUUCCGAGUUCCCUGGAACGGGACGCCUUAGAGGGUGAGAGCCCCGUACGGUUGGACACCAAGCCUCUGUAAAGCUCCUUCGACGAGUCGAGUAGUUUGGGAAUGCUGCUCUAAAUGGGAGGUAAAUUUCUUCUAAAGCUAAAUAUUGGCCAGAGACCGAUAGCGCACAAGUAGAGUGAUCGAAAGAUGAAAAGCACUUUGAAAAGAGGGUUAAAUAGCACGUGAAAUUGUUGAAAGGGAAGCGUUUGCGACCAGACCUUUUCCUAGUGGAUCAUCCGGUGUUCUCACCGGUGCACUUCGCUAGGUUGAGGCCAGCAUCGGUUUCCGUAGGGGGAUAAAAGCUUGGGGAAUGUAGCUCCUUCGGGAGUGUUAUAGCCCCUUGCAUAAUACCCUUACGGGGACCGAGGACCGCGCUUCGGCAAGGAUGCUGGCGUAAUGGUCGUCAACGAC
rnacentral:rRNA from 3 species